GACGAACGCUGGCGGCGUGCUUAACACAUGCAAGUCGAACGGAGCGAAUGAAAGCUUGCUUUUAUAAGCUUAGUGGCAAACGGGUGAGUAACACGUAGGCAACCUGCCGACAGGAUGGGGACAACAUUCCGAAAGGAAUGCUAAUACCGAAUGAAGUCGAGGGAGGGCAUCCUCCUCCGAUGAAAGAUGGCCUCUAUAUAUAAGCUAUCACCUGUCGAUGGGCCUGCGUCUGAUUAGCUGGUAGGUGAGGUAACGGCUCACCUAGGCGACGAUCAGUAGCCGGUCUGAGAGGAUGAACGGCCACAUUGGGACUGAGACACGGCCCAGACUCCUACGGGAGGCAGCAGUGGGGAAUCUUCCGCAAUGGGCGCAAGCCUGACGGAGCAACGCCGCGUGAGUGAAGAAGGUCUUCGGAUCGUAAAGCUCUGUUGAUGGGGACGAAACGUGCCUAAAUGCGAAAUAGUAUUAAGGUAAAUGAACGGUACCC
rnacentral:rRNA from 1 species